rnacentral:lncRNA from 1 species
UUUGUUCAGAGUCAAGUCAAAUUACAAAGUUGCGCAAAGUAUAACAUACAUAAACUUAAUUAAACACAAGAACAGAUAAGACGUUUAGAGCCUUGUCGGUGACAUGGACGCCGCUGUUGGCUUGGAACAGCUAUUUAAUUGCUGUGCAUAGGGACGUGCCCGCGUUAGCCGUGUUGCAACAGCGCAGGAUGGAUUUCAGCCAGCAACAUCCUCAAGAGCUGCUGCACAACCACCGGGAAUGUCUUCAGUUGGGCACGUGUAGGUUUGGUCGGCGGGGUCGAGCAUCGUACGCAUUGCGCACAGAAAACGAGGUGCAGCGUCUCUGUAACAUCGCCAACAUAUCCGGUACGCGGUGGCAGGCUUGCGAGAGGGCUUGGACCUAUGCUGAUGUUCGUUCCAAGAAGUGAACUGAGGACUGAUGCUACGGUGCGCCAAACGCCCUGUAACUCGCUUACGCUAAUCUCACAUUCCAAUAUGCCACUGCACUUUCCUCUCCAGCCUGGCCACAUUCUCUUCCUCGCAAACGUACUUGGGCACCUUACAAUCCAACACCAUACGUGCUUUGGAAACGCGGGCAGCUGCUUCACAAGGACCCCCCUAUUUACAGUGUUCGGGCCGAAACGGAAACCUGCCGAAACGGAAACCUGCCGAAACUAGUUUCGGUGAUUCCGGCGAAGAGGUCCUGGUUCUGCGGAAAUGCCGAAACUAGUUUCGGCCCCUUUCGGCUAGCGCCGUACGGCGGAACCUACUUUGAAUAGUUUCAAAGUGUAGGCGCGUUGUGCAAGGCUGCGAAACUCUGCGAAUGUUGAGUUUAUCUUAUCAAUGUCUCAGACAACUUCUGUUGUCAGUGCAGACACAGAUUCGGUCAAAAACAAGGGCGGAAGGACCGCUGAUCAGACCGUUUGGGCUCACUUUGAGAAGAAAAAAUAUAAUGCAAAGUGUAAGAACUGGACUAUCAUCUGCAAGUACUGCCGGACCGAGUCCAAGCAAGGGCGCCUUCAGGAGAUGCGCGUCCAUAUCGCGCAAAAGUGCGCGGGACCCGUCCCGCCUGAGGUCCGGCACGAGCUGCAGGCAGUAGUGACCAAGGGCGCCUGCAGCGCCUCGACUCGCACCUUGACACGCAAGGACUGCCAGACAACGCUGAAGCAGCACUUCGACACGGCACAGGUCCCAUGAGGCGCAAAGGCACAUAGGGCCCACGAACAACGUUUGCAUACCAUGGACGUCAUAAAAUACAGCAUUUUCAGGGUUUCGGCAGGUUCCGGCAGGUUCCGGCAGGUUUCGCAGAAGGGUCCAAAAAACGGAAACUAUUUCGGCAUUGUCAGUAAGGUUUCGGCCCGUACACUGCCUAUUUAAGCAGCCCCUCGCACAAAUGUGUCCGGUCGUACUUCGCGAAUAAAAGGUCCGUACAUCACGCCCCAAAAGCCAGGAGCGAAUUUUACCGCGCAGAUGCGCGCGUGCGAUUCUCAAAAUGCGCCUGUACAAGUGUAUAUAAAUUUUCUUGGCGGAAAAGGACCAGGUGCGCCAGCGCGUUGCGCAGGUGGGCAUGUUGGCCAUAGCCGCACGCGGCAUGCAGGCUGGACUAUUGCGUGGAUGCUUUGCAGUAACUAAAAGCACCGAAAGCCAACGUCGUAGCUUGCAACUCUGGGCUCGUGAAACUGCCGCGGAAGAUGAAGCGCUGGCGAAGAGGCAGUUGUAUGCAGCACCUUGUUCAGAGUAAAGUCAAAUUACAAAGUUGCGCAAAGUAUAACAUACAUAAACGUAAUUAAACAUAAGAACAGAUAAGACGUUUAGAGCCUUGUCGGUGACAUGGACGCCGCUGUUGGCUUGGAACAGCUAUUUGCUGUGAAUAGGGACGUGCCCGCGUUAGCCGUGUUGCAACAGUUCAGGAUGGAUUUCAGCCAGCAACAGCCUCAAGAGCUGCUGCACAACCACCGGGAAUGUCUUCAGUUGGGCACGUGUAGUUUUGGUCGGCGGGGUCGAGCAACGUACGCAAUGCGCACAGAAACCAAGGUGCAGCGUUCUGUAACAUCGCCAACAUAUCCGGUACACGGUGGCAGGCUUGCCGAGCACGAAAUGAAGGGGGGGUCGCAUCUCACCAUUCAACUAAGCAUGCAUGUGCUCGGUUGAAUGCUCGGUAGCGUGCGAGUUUACCCCUAUCAGGAUGUUUGUUUGCAUAUCCCUCCAAGCGAGAGGGCUUGGACCUAUGCUGAUGUUCGUUCCAAGAAGUGAACUGAGGACUGAUGCUACGGUGAAAGAUUUGCACGUAAAUUCGCCCGUGCAAUAAAACGCCCUGUAACUCGCUUACGCUAAUCUCACAUUCCAAUAUGCCACUGCACUUUCACUCCAGCCUGGCCACAUUCUCUUCCUCGCAAACGUACUUGGGCAC